rnacentral:rRNA from 1 species
UACGUAGGGUGCGAGCGUUAAUCGGAAUUACUGGGCGUAAAGGGUGCGCAGGCGGCUUCGCAAGUCAGGCGUGAAAUCCCCGAGCUUAACUUGGGAAUUGCGUUUGAAACUACGAGGCUGGAGUGUGGCAGAGGGAGGUGGAAUUCCACGUGUAGCGGUGAAAUGCGUAGAUAUUCGGCGGAACACCAGUGGCGAAGGCGACUCACUGGCCCGAUACUGACGCUGAGGCGCGAAAGCGUGGGGAGCAAACAGG